rnacentral:rRNA from 1 species
CCGCAAUCACAUUUGUGCUAAGGUAGCAUAAUCAUUAGCUUUUUAAUUAAAAGAUAGAAUGAAUGGAAAAACGAAAAAUUAACUUUCUUUAAAAAAUUAAAUUAAACUUAAAUAAAUAUAAAUGUAAAAAUUCAUUUACCAAUUAAAAAGACGACAAGACCCUACAAACUUAAUAAAUUUAACUGGGGUGGUGAAUAAAAAAAACCUUUAUUUUAAAUAUAAAACCAAUCUAAUAUUAAUUAAUAUAGAAAAAGUUACUAUAGGGAUAACAGCGCAAUUAUUUUUUAAAGUUCAAAUAAAAAAAAAAAUUACGACCUCGAUGUUGAAUUAAUAUUCUAAUUUCUAAUGCAAAAGUUAUUUUAAGAAGGUCUGUUCGACCAUUAAACAAUU